UCCGGGCACAGCUGCGGGGAGAAGGGAAGCCACAGGUCAGCACCUGGGGCCCCGGCUCCCGCCCUGAGAGCCUGCACUGGGGCUGCUCCCCUCUGCGGGUCACAGCCCGUACCACGUGAAUGGGCCUGGCUGUGCUCAGAUAAGGCGUUACUUUCCCACGCAGAUGAGAAUGGCCUACAGUGUUCACACACGAUGAGAUAUUUUGACUUUCGGCCAUUUAAACAUGUCAAAGCCAUUCCUAGCUUGUGGGCUGUUUACAAACGAGCACCAGGUCCGCUCUAACCUGUGGACAUGGUGUCGUUUGCCAAUCCCUAGGCUAGAGAAAGGGGCACACAUUGGCGACUUCCUUGAUGUGUCUGUAGUAGACAGGACACCUGCGUUCUAGGCAGGAGGACCGCGCCCUUAGCCUCCCCGCACCACCUGGAUGGACUGAUACUCCUCAGCCCUGCAGCGCCAACCCUGCCUCGCCUGCACAGGCCACCCUCCUCCCAGGAACACAGUCCUGACCUGCUGACAGCGGAGCCUCCCCAACUCCGAGGGCACCAGCCUCCGCCCCUCCCAACCCCUACCCCCAUCGUGGCAGCUCAAGGCCAGAAGACGCCCUGUCCCGGUCCUAGCACGGGCCUCCCAGACACACCCUGUCGAGGUGAACAACUGCCCCUGUUCUUGAGCCCAGCACAGCCCCUACCUCACUGUUCUCAGCCCUUGUGCGGUGGGUGCGGAAGUUGCGGAGGUUCCAGGCAAGGUGGCCGCCCUCUAGAGCUGCUGUUCUGGGAAAAGGCACUCCUUUUAUUAGGACAGUCUGUCAAACCUGUCUCAACAGCCUGCCCUGCUACCUGAGCCCUGCAGAACUGCCAUUAUCUUGAGCAAUUUUCAAUGUUUCUUAAAGGACUUUGAAAAUUGCCAAUAACUAUUAAAAUUAGAAAUAAGCCAAAAAAAAUACAUACACUUUUGUAAACACCUGUUAUCCAGCUGCAGUGAGAACCCAGGUUUCAGCUCUGAGUUCCCACUCGGGUGCUGGCCGUGUGACCCAGCGGAGCUCCAGCACCCGCACCCACACCUUCUGCUGUUUCCCUUUCCAAGGUCUUAGAGGGCAGUGGUGCUUCGUGGGACUCCCCGCAGCGAUCUUGGCUCCAGCGUGAAGCACACAUGUUCUCUAAAUCACUGGUCUUGUUUGUUGCUGGAACGUGAAGAGCCAGAAGAGAACUUGGGAACCGUUCAGUCCAGCGCCUGCAGGUGAGGAGCCGAGUCCCAGGCUGGUGGCGACCUAGGACCAGCCAGCCCGGCAGGGCCGUAGGCACACUGCAGACCAGCUCUCCACAGCCAGUUGCCUGCCUGGCUUUCCCUGAUCCAGUUUUUCAAAAGGGCAUGUGUCCAUGUCAAUAGAUCGCUUUAUAGAAAAAUGAAAUUUCUUACCCCUUUCCACUCCCUGGAGGCAACACUUUUAAGGCUUUUAACUGUUGUGUUUGGCAUUUCUCUCCGUAUUGUUACUUACACUGCUACUUCUUGAUGUCUUAAAUCAUAUCUUGCUUUUCUACUCAAAAAGUGGGUAAGCAUAGUGGUUCUAAAGCAGACUUUAACUGUGUGACUUUAGGCAGAUCAUAUAACCUCUCUGUGCCUCAGCUUCCUCAACUGUAAACUGAAGUCACAGCAGCAGCCUGCCUCGGAGACCGCGGUGGGUUACCAGCACACAUGGCCCUGUGUGGUCUGUUGACAUGUAGCGUGUGCUGCUGCUGCCAUCACUGUAGAAGCCUGACCUUUGGCUCUCCUACCACAUCCCGCCAUCCUCCCAACAGACUCAUCACAGUUUUGGGCCAGACCCAGAUCUAUUUUGGCAUUAGAACCAUGCAAACAUGGCUCUCAGAUGAGACACAGAGUGCACUUUGAUUACAUUUCCUUUCUUAGACAACUUUUUGUUUUUCUUGAAAUUCAAAAUUGCUUCAAAUUUGGUUUUUCGUUUUGCAUUUUGCUUAGGUUUCUAGGAUUGUAAUUCAGCCUCACAUUUUCUGAGAGCGUGGUCAGAACCUGGGUCCUGACCAUCUGCUGGAAGGUCCUCCCUGCCCAGUGCUAGUCUGGGCUCUCUGUCGCUGCCAUCCAGGCCACCCUCAUUCGUGUCCCAUCCUCGGGCUGGGCUGACAGUCGCAGUUUGCUGAAGUGUAUUCCCUCCCACUUUUGGGUAAUAAUGUGGCUGGGUAGAGGAUUCUAGAAAUCAUUUCCCUCAGAACUUUAAAGACAUUUCUUCAUUGUCUUCUAACUUUCCAAGUUCUUGCAGAAGAGAAGUCAGUGUGCUGUGAUCCAGGUCCCCUGUGUGUGACUCGAGCUCUUCCCUGGAGGCUCUUAGAAUUUUCUGAUGAUGUAGACUCUGUUUUCAUUGAUUGUGCUGGAAUUUCCAUCUGAAUGCUCCUUAUCCUGGAUUGCAGGGGCAUUUUCUUCCCCUCCUUGCUCGUUGUUCUCUUUCUGGCUCUCCCAAUACUCCCGCGGUGGAGGUCCUGACUUCAGCCUCCAGUGAUCUUAUAUUUACUCCUUUCCUCCAGGUCUUUAUAUUCUGCUUUAUCUUGCAUUUCUUCUAUUAAAAUUUUUUUUGCCAUCAUAUUUAUUUCCAAUAUAUAUAUAUUUUUCAACUUCUUGUUCAUUCACAGGCUCAAUACUUUUUUUUUUUUUUUUUUACGUUUUCUUCCUUCCCUUCACUGCCUCCAUUUCUCCCAACUCCCUCUUUCCUCUGUUUUGGUGUCUGUGUUUCAAGAGAUUUUCUUCACAUAUGAUCUUGGCUGGAAAAGCUGAGCCACUCUUUGGAAGUGAGGCUGAGCUCUGUAAAGUGGCAGGCCUCACACGGGGCUCUGGGGAGAGGCGCUGGGAGCUCUGCAGGCUUUCCCUCAAUGCUCGUUUCCAGGGUGCCACCUCACCACCACUCAGCUAGGCCCAUGUCCCCAGCAUGGAGGUGUUCUUGUCAAGCUCUCCAGAAAGGAACCCACCGUCCUCUGCCGGGUGUGAGGGGAGGCAGUGGCGUCUCCUGCACCUUGUGCACACUCCCAGCCUUUCCCUGUCUUGGCCUGUCCUUGCCUCUGUGGCCUGCGGUUCUGGACUCCUCCAGCGUUGCAGACACUGCUCAGCUGACUGCUUGUCAGCCUCUCACUGUGCAGGAGCUUAAGUUUUGCGUGUCUCCAGGCUAAGUCAGCUGUCACUCACUUCUGUUUUCCAUCUUCCAGAAGCAUGUCACCGGCUUUCCUCCGCUGUCCUUGUGGGUCGUUUGGGUAGCAUUUAGGAAGAAGCUGGACACAGAGCCUGUCCUCCCUGUCUUCUCUAUUGCUGUACUGCCAGCCUAGCCCCUUCCUCUUUGGAAGACUUGACGUGAGCCGGAAAGGAAGUGACAAGACAGGCCGGGCGCGGUGGCUCACGCCUGUAAUCCCAGCACUUUGGGAGGCCAAGACGGGUGGAUCACGAGGUCAGAAGAUCAAGACCAUCCUGGCUAACACCGUGAAACCCCGUCUCUACCAAAAAUACAAAAAAAUUAGCCGGGCGGGGUGGCGGGCGCCUGUAGUCCCAGCGACUCGGGAGGCUGAGGCAGGAGAAUGGCGUGAACCCGGGAGGCGGAGCUUGCAGUGAGCCGAGAUCGCGCCACUGCACUCCAGCCUGGGUGACAGAGCGAGACUCCGUCUCAAAUAAACAAAACAAAAAAAAAAAACAAAAGGAAGUGACAAGACAGAAACUGCUUGCUUAGAAGGAUGGCGAGGAGGUUUCCUUCAGGUAUAGGAGACUCAAGGGUAUGUCAGGUCCCCGUGAAGAAGGCAGGAAAGUAGCAAUUGUGGCACCAGAGUGAGGGCUGGGUAGGGCGGAUGGCUGGUGAUAGCUGAAGGAGCCAGGCAGCGGGGAGGCAGAGAAAGGACUUGCUCUUCCUGCUGCUGAGACGAGAGGAAGGAAAGACGAGGCAGCACUCGCAGGAAAAGGAAAGCCUAAUGCAGCCAUGCAGGGAACAACGCAGCCGUGCAGGGACGCCCUGUGCUAAGCGCUGGGCGUGCAGUGAGACUCCAUGAAGCCACAGUGUCAUUGAGGGGAGACAGGAGACAGACUUGUCAAAGGGCGCCUUGUGGGAGGCAGCUGCACAGCACAGGCGCUCUCCCUUGGAAACCGCUCCCUCAGUAAGAGGGGGCAGCACCAUCCACUCAGGCAGGGAGACUGCCGCCAGGCUCAGAACUUGCAAAAUGGAAAGAAGUGAGAACAGUCCUAUGGAAGAAGCACUGACUUCAGAAUAGAGUUGUAAGAUGCUAGGACAGAGCAGGUGCUUGACACGCAAUGGCCACUGUUUUCACUAUUCCAGGGAUUCAACUGCAAAGGAAGAAAAAUAUUUCAUCCAAGAGUGGACAAGCAGGCUUAGGAGAGAGGUAGAAGAGUGUCUUGGAGGAUGGUGUUUCUGAAGAGGGCUAAUUCCCAGCAAGGACUUCUGGGACCUUGCUUACUGCACGGCCGAGGUUACCUGGUUGUACUGGGUCCCGCACUAAGUAGCUUGUGUCAUCUCAGUUUAUUUAAUGCUCUCAACUCUAUAAAGUAGGUGGUAUUAUCUUCAUUUAACAGAUGAAGAAACUAAGAUGAGGGCUCUGGCCUGGAGCUGGUGAGAGGCCGCAGCAGGAACUGAACCUGGGCCUGCUGGACUCCAAGAGCCUUUCUGGCUCUGUCACUUGCACUGACCCCGAGGCCCAGGGGAGGUGACCCUGUCAAGUAUGGUGUAGAACUCAGGCUCUGCAAUGGCAGAGAUGGUUUGCAAAGGACCCUACACUUCCCUAUGCUUUUGUUCCCUACUUGUUUUAAAUUUUAUCUGAUAAACCAAAUCCUUCUAUUUCCUCUUUUUUAAUUUGUGGAGUUUUAAAAAUUGUGAUAAAAUACACAUAAAAUUUAUCAUAACUAUUUUAAGUGUUCAGUUCAGUAAUGUUAAGUAUAUUUGAGUUGUGAAAAAGGUCUCCAGCACCUUUUCAUCUUGCGAAACUGAAACUUUGUACCCAUUAAACAAUAACCAUGGAAAGCAAAACCACAGAUGAGGAGGAAUUCCUGUUCCAUGCUAUUUUGAUUACUGGAACUUUACGGUAAGUUUUGAAGUCAGGAAGUAUGAGACCUUCAACACUGUUCUUUUCAAGACCACACUGUCUAUUUAAGGUCCUUUGAUAUUUGCAUAUAAAUUUUUGGAUUGGGUUUUCCUCUUUUUGCAUUAAAGGAUUACAUUAAUCUGUAGAUCACUUUAGGUAGUAUUGAUAUCUUAACAAUAUUGUCUUCCAAUCCAUGAAUAUGGGAUGUCUUUCCAUUUCUAUGUGUCCUCCUUAAUUGCUUUCAGAAAUGUGUUGUACUUUUCAGUGCACACAUCUUGCCUGCUUGGUUAAGUUUAUUUCUAAGUAUUUUAUUCUUUUUGAUGCUAUUGUAAAUGGAAUAGUUUGUCUUUUCAGAUUGCUUAUUAAGUAUAUAAAAAUGCAAUAAUUAUUUGUAUGAAUUUUGUCUCCUGCAACUUUGCUGAAUUUGCUUAUUAGUUCUAAAAGUUCUAAGGUGGAAUUUUUACGUUUUCUAUACAGGACCAUAUUGUUUACAAACGGAGUUAAUUUUACUUCUUACCUCUGAUUUGGAUGCCUUUUAAAUUUCUUUUUCUUGCCUGAUUGCUCCAGCUAGGACUCCCAGGACUAUGUUCAAUAGAAGUGAUGAAAGCAGCAUCCUUUUCUUGUUCCUGAUCUUAGAAGAAAAGCUUUCAUUCUGGCAUCACUGAGUAUCAUGUUAGCUGUGGGCUUUUCAUAUACUGCCUUUAUGAGGUUGAGGUAAUUUCCUUCUGUUCCUUUGUUGAGUGGUUUUAAUCAUGAAGUUGUGUUGAAUCUUGUCAAAUGCUUUUUCUGUAUCAGUUGAAGUGACUGUGUGUUUUCCUUCAUGCUGUUAAUGUGGUGUAUUACACUGACUGAUUUUCUUAUAUUGAAACAUCCUUGCAUUCCAGGAAUAAAUCCCACUUGGCCUUUGCAUAUAAUCCUUUCAAUGUGUUGUUGAACUCUGCUAGUGUGUUGUUUAGGAUUUUGGCAUCAGUCUUCAUCAAGAAUAUUAGUCUGUAGUUUUCUUUCUUGGAGUGUCUUUGGCCUUAGUAUCAGGUUAAUGCUCAACACUGAAAUGUUCCUUCUUUUUCAUUCUUUAGAGGAGUUUCAGGAGGACUGGUGUGAAUUCUGUAAAUGUUUGGUAGAAUAUACCAGGGAAGCCAUCUGGUCCUGGGCUUUUCUUUUUGGGGAAAUUUUUGACUGCUGCUUCAGUCUCUUUACUAGUUGUAGGUCUGUUGAGUCUUGGUAGGUUGUGUCUUUCUAGGAAUUUGUCCAUUUCAUCUAGGUUAGACAAUUUGUUGGCAUACUUGUCCAUAAUAUUCUCUUGGUCUUUUUAUUUCUGCAAGCUGUGUUGUUCUGUAGGACACAAUGUUUUCUCGCCCGUUUCUGGUUUUAGUUAUUUAGCUUUUUUCUCUCUUUUUAUUUAAGUUGAAGGUCUGUCAAUUUUGUUAGUCUUUUCAAACAGCCAACUCUUAGUUUAAUUGAUUUUCUCUGUUGUUUAAAAUUCUCUCUCUUGUUUAUCUCUGCUCUAAUCAUUACUGUUUCUUUCCUUCUGUUAGCUUCGGGUUUUGUUUGUUGUUUUUUGAGCUUCUCAUCUCCUUGUACUCUUGUUUCUUGUCUCAUAUUCAGCCCAUCUCCAAGGGCUGCUGUGAGGAUCACAACCAACAGGACACAUGAAAAGUCUAUGACACUGGCCAGAUGCCUCUCAGAACCACAGCAGAACAUGCCUGUGAUUCAUUCUGGCUGGGAGGAUGUCGGGCUGCUCUUUGGGUGCACCAGGCCCCUGGGCCAGGCUGGGAGAGGUGACACUACCACUGCAGAAGGGGAUGCCACCUUCUGAGAGCCACAUGUUACUGUGUCUUCAACCCUGCCCCCUCUCACCAUGCUAGUUUUUUUUUUCCCCCCAUGGCACAGGGUUAGGAGUCACAGUCUUAGAUAAAAUGUAAGGGCUUGGUUUAAUGAGUAAUGGUUAGAAACGGCUGUAGGCAAGCCAUCCGGGUUUUUCUAGAUUAAAACAAAUAUUUCUCUUGGUGUCUACUUUAAUGUGAAAUAAUUGCCCCCAAGUCAGCCCUGUUGCAUCAGACACAGUGUGAGCCCAGCCCUUGCAGGGCCAGCAUCAGGAAAGGCAACCUCAGAAUUCUGUAGACGGGCAUUUAGGGACACAGUACAUGGCAAGUAUCAAACAAUCCACUGUGCCACAACAGGCCUGACUUGAAUUCCUGCCUGCACCCCUGAGCACUUUGGGACUUUGGGGAAGUGAUUUCAAGUCCCUGAGCUUCCGUUUCCUCCUAUUUACCCCAAAGAGUUACCCUCCACUGACUGCUGACUGUGCCGGGAGGGCACGAGCACCUGAUGAAUGUGGAUUCCUUUCCCCUUGGCCCUUCCUUAUCCUGCUCCCUCCUCAGGUCUCCACCUAACUCCAUCCUUUAUCAAGAUCAUCUAGAGAUAUCUACUAGCUAUAGUCUUCUCAAUGAAGCCCCAUAAAAAAUAGAAAUGAACACACUAUAAGUGGGAGAGGCAUCAGGCAUAUUGAGUAGUGGUUGUGGCCUUAAUGAUUUUCCAAAACCAAGAAAAAUGCUUGGGCGGGUGACAUUACAUAGAAAUGAUGGUGAUUAGGCCAUAGAAGGUUAAUUCCAACUCUGGAAAAUCAGUUCAGUAACUGUUUUCUGCAAAAGAUAAAUAGCUUAUUUCUGUAAAAGAAAACCAGGCAAUAAAAGUUAACCUUCAUUUCUAGGAAGUAAUCCAGCCUGCUAGAAUGACCAAUUAAAAUUUUCUACAUUUUAUAUAUUGAGUUCAAUAGUAUCCUUCAUAAUAUAAAGUUAGAGAACACUACUUAUGCAACAGAAAAGAAAAUAGCCUGCAUUUCUGGCUUCUGUCAUAAGAAAAACUUCAUUGCCUUUCUGAUUGUGUUUAGAACAACACACACAGAUCCUAACAGGAAGAAACUUGUCCCCAUGGGGACUGAGCCAGGAUCAGAGUUAAGCACUGAAACAAGCAAUUAAUUCCCCUUAGAGGAUUAAGGCACUCAGGUUCACUUUGAAUCAGAAAAGCGAAUGAAGAAUAAAAUGGUGUACAACCAA